UGAGUCUGAGCCCACCCUUAUCUUUAAGUGGUAUUAUGGUCUGAACAGAUCCUUUGCCAAAUGUCUUUUCCCCAAGUAGUAUUGCUCUUUUAUGGUCUUUAAGUGCACCGGAAACGAUUUCUGAAGCCGAAGCGGAGCCUCUAUUAAUGAGUACAACUAAAGGUUUGCCAUUUAAAACAUCCCCUUUUUUUGCAGUAUAGAUUUUGAUGUCAUCUUUAUUUCUUCCUCUAAUAGAAACAAUUUCACCACCAUCCAAAAAGGCAUCACUAAUUUUAACUGCUUGUGAAAGUAGUCCUCCAGGAUUAUUUCUUAA
rnacentral:ncRNA from 1 species